GACGAACGCUGGCGGCGUGCUUAACACAUGCAAGUCGAACGGAAAGGCCCUGCUUUUGUGGGGUGCUCGAGUGGCGAACGGGUGAGUAACACGUGAGUAACCUGCCCUUGACUUUGGGAUAACUUCAGGAAACUUGGGCUAAUACCGGAUAGGAGCUCCUGCUGCAUGGUGGGGGUUGGAAAGUUUCGGCGGUUGGGGAUGGACUCGCGGCUUAUCAGCUUGUUGGUGGGGUAGUGGCUUACCAAGGCUUUGACGGGUAGCCGGCCUGAGAGGGUGACCGGGAACAUUGGGACUGAGAGACGGCCCAGACGCCUACGGGAGGCAGCAGUGGGGAAUAUUGCACAAUGGGCGGAAGCCUGAUGCAGCAACGCCGCGGGCGGGAUGACGGCCUUCGGGUUGUAAACCGCUUUCGCCUGUGAAGAAGAGGGAGUGACGGUAAUGGGUAAAGAAGCACCGGCUAACUACGUG
rnacentral:rRNA from 1 species